rnacentral:misc_RNA from 1 species
UCCGGUUUGUCACCGGCAGUCUCCUUAGAGUUCCCAGCAUGACCUGAUGGUAACUAAGGACAAGGGUUGCGCUCGUUACGGGACUUAACCCAACAUCUCACGACACGAGCUGGCGACAGCCAUGCAGCACCUGUGCACGUGUCCCGAAGGAGGGCCGGUGUUUCCACCGGCUUGCACGUGCAUGUCAAGCCCAGGUAAGGUUCUUCGCGUUGCAUCGAAUUAAGCCACAUGCUCCACCGCUUGUGCGGGCCCCCGUCAAUUCCUUUGAGUUUUAGCCUUGCGGCCGUACUCCCCAGGCGGGGCGCUUAAUGCGUUAGCUACGGCACGGAUUCCGUGGAAGGAACCCACACCUAGCGCCCACCGUUUACGGCGUGGACUAC